rnacentral:rRNA from 1 species
UACGAAGGGGGCUAGCGUUGUUCGGAAUCACUGGGCGUAAAGGGCGCGUAGGCGGCUUUGUAAGUCGGGGGUGAAAGCCUGUGGCUCAACCACAGAAUUGCCUUCGAUACUACAUGGCUUGAGACCGGAAGAGGUUAGUGGAACUGCGAGUGUAGAGGUGAAAUUCGUAGAUAUUCGCAAGAACACCAGUGGCGAAGGCGGCUGACUGGUCCGGUUCUGACGCUGAGGCGCGAAAGCGUGGGGAGCAAACAGG